UUGCGCCAGGAUCAGUAUGGUCUGGUUCUCAUCCUGUGGACUUCUCAUCUUUGCCACCCAUCAUUAGUCCAACUUCUGAAUCCGUGUUGGAACCAAUUAUAACAUCUCAUUUAAGAACUGAUGUGAGUCUAGACCUUCCAUCGGAUAACAAUACUGAAGAAGGGACCAAAACAGAAGAGAAUAAUGAGAUAUCCCAGAUUAUAGACAUUUGUAAACCGCUGGAUGGUAACUGGUUAGAGAAACGGGAAUCUGAAGAAUCUCACAGAAAUAAUACAAAAAUUACCGACUUGGAAUCUGAGACGGUUUUCAGACAAGAUGCACAGCAUAGUGGUGGAAGGCAUGUCUUCAGGAGUAGCAAAAAGUAUGAGGGUGAGGGAAGCUUUAGCAUAUACAUCAAGGGUAGAAAUCGCCGUAAACAGACACUAAAGCUGCCUAUAAGUUUGCUCAAUAGGCCAUAUGGAUCACAGUCAUUUAAAGUUAUAUAUAGCAGAGUAGUAAGAGGAAGUGAUGUUAUAAGUGCAACAGAUAUAUCUUCCAGUGAAAAUGUUACUUCCGACUAGUCACGAGCAAAGAACACUACAAACUUCAAAAUGGGCAGGAAAGAAUUUUUUUUAUUGUUCAAGCCACAUCCAGGAGGACGUGACUGAAAAAUUAGCAAUGUUGAUAAUUUAGUUAUUGCUAUUUUUCAGGCAACUGAUAUUUUUUAUUAAGAAGCCAAGAUUGAACGUUCAGGAAGGUAAGCGACAAAUCUCCUCAUGGUCCAAGCCAGGUUCACAACAUAGAUUGUUGAGAAGGCUAUGAAGUUCCAAGUCUAGAGAGGAUGGAAAUAGCGUAGAACUUUUGACCAAAUCAUUAGAAUUAGGUUGAAACUAUUAACCCAUUUUUUCUUCUCCAUUGAAGAGACAUGUAUGAGCAUUUUUCUCCUCUCUUUUUUCCCCUUUUCCUUUUGAGGAUUCUGAAAUUUAUAGCCGACAACAUUGUAAGUCAUGGGAUUUUGUGAACCUCGACUUUUCUACCCAUCAAAAUAACUUUUGCAAUUUCUGCUAA